ACUCAAAGGAAUUGACGGGGACCCGCACAAGCGGUGGAUGAUGUGGUUUAAUUCGAUGCAACGCGAAAAACCUUACCCACCUUUGACAUGUACGGAAUCCUUUAGAGAUAGAGGAGUGCUCGAAAGAGAGCCGUAACACAGGUGCUGCAUGGCUGUCGUCAGCUCGUGUCGUGAGAUGUUGGGUUAAGUCCCGCAACGAGCGCAACCCUUGUCAUUAGUUGCUACAUUUAGUUGGGCACUCUAAUGAGACUGCCGGUGACAAACCGGAGGAAGGUGGGGAUGACGUCAAGUCCUCAUGGCCCUUAUAGGUGGGGCUACACACGUCAUACAAUGGCUGGUACAAAGGGUUGCCAACCCGCGAGGGGGAGCUAAUCCCACAAAGCCAGUCGUAGUCCGGAUCGUAGUCUGCAACUCGACUACGUGAAGUCGGAAUCGCUAGUAAUCGUGGAUCAGAAUGUCACGGUGAAUACGUUCCCGGGUCUUGUACACACCGCCCGU
rnacentral:rRNA from 1 species